UACGAAGGGUGCUAGCGUUGUUCGGAAUUACUGGGCGUAAAGCGCGUGUAGGCGGCUUGUUAAGUUAGAUGUGAAAUCCCGGGGCUCAACCUCGGAAUUGCAUUUGAUACUGGCAAGCUAGAAUCUUGUAGAGGGUGAUGGAAUUCCUAGUGUAGAGGUGAAAUUCGUAGAUAUUAGGAGGAACACCAGUGGCGAAGGCGCUCACCUGGGCAAGUAUUGACGCUGAGACGCGAAAGCGUGGGGAGCAAACAGG
rnacentral:rRNA from 1 species